AGGCAACAGUUACAAGAUCCUCGAAGAAAACCCAUGGCAGCUCUACAUUACAAUAAGGGUGAUAAAGAUGUAUCGCCCAAUGGAAGGUAUAUGAUUGGAUUUUUCAUUACUAAUUUGAAUGACCUACAUGAUACUUCUCAUCUUUUGAAUUUAUCAACAUUUUUCAUAAUAUUCUGAUGGAAUGUAUGAUAAAAAGUGAGCAGCUGCUAGUUAUAGAGCUUGAUAAUAAUUUGGCAGACUUUAUUUUGGACUUUUGGUUGAUUUUGAAUUGCUGUUCUAUCUUUUGUUGUUUUCAGAACAAGGAUGGGAUGGGAACAGAGACUGUACAUUUUCAGCUGUGAAGGAUCAAUUCCGCUGUGAAUGAUCAAGUAAGGUAACUUAUGUUUCUCCCGUGACUGCUUUCCUAAACUGAAUUACUUUGGUGGUGAAGCAAGAUGCUUUAGCCAUAGAAUCAAUUUUGUUCUGCCAUGUGGGACAUGUAAUUAGGAGCAUGAGUAGAGGAUCAUAGUGUACCUGCUGAUAAUAUGGAUUGUUGUUGAAGUUCUGGGGCGGCGGCAUGUUGUUGUUUUGGGACGGUGCCAUGUUGUUGAAGUUCUGGGGCGGCGCCUGCUGUUCAGAGUAUUGCUGGUGCUGGUAUUAGGAUUUUGAAUAGAGUAAGUUCAAAACACACUUCAAAACAAAGAGCACAAGCAACCUAGGAAAUUAAAAUUAUUUUAGUUAUUGCAUAACAAGAUUGACUUAACACACCCAAGAUUUACAAAACAUGACCAAGCAUUGCAUACAAGACAUAUUAAAACAUGAAUAUAUUAAUUCCAUGAUGCUCAAUAAUUAUAUUUAUUAAAGCACAUAAUUCAUAUUUAAUUAUGUAUUUACAUAUGUUACAAGUUUACCUGAGGGGGAGGUUGCAUGUUGAAGUCCUGGGCCGGCUCUAGUUGAUAGUCUGCCUGAGGGGGUUCAUUUUGUGCAUGAGGGAGAUGUUGGUUGUUGAUGUUCGGCCGUGGUUCAUUGUCUGCGUGAGGGAGAGGUUGGUUGUUGAUGGUCCAGAGUUGCUCUGGCAAGUUCAGGUUGUAGAGGCCGGCUAUCUCUUCGGCGCCAAACCCCUGUGCGAAGUAGAACACUAUGUUCUCUGGAUUAAUCCCGUUUUGCAGCAAGAAUUGUGUCUGCUCGGGUGUAAGCAUAUUGUUGGGCUGCUGCUGGUUCAGGUCCGGGACCUGGUGCUGCUGCUGGUUUUGGGUUCGCGAUCGGCGGCUGCUGCUGCUGGGUCGACGGCGGCUGCUGCUCAUACUAUCCCGGAUCGGCUGCUGCUGCUGGGUUGGGCCCUGGAUAGGCUGCUGCUCGGAGCUGCCGGCGUAGGUGUGGUAUGGGUGUUGGAUCGGCUGCUGCUCGAAGGGAUUGGGCGUGGGUGGCUGUGAGCUGGAGCUACCGGCGUUGAGGUGGUAUGGGUGUUGUCCAGCCAUGACGAGGAGAUAGGCGAGGAGGACGGGUGGAUUUUGAUUGGGAGUGUGUGUGCCAGUGAGGCGCGUGGGGCUUGGCGCUUCUACUUGUAGUGUGUCUACUAUACUAUAAAUAGAAGUAGUGGGGGAAGUAGUAACGCCCUGUUUAGUUCCCUAUCCAAAAUUUUUUCAUCCAUCCCAUCGAAUCUUUGGACACAUGCAUGGAACAUUAAAUGUAGAUAAAAAAAUAAACUAAUUACACAGUUUAGUUAAGAAUCGCGAGACGAAUCUUUUAAGCCUAGUUACUCCAUGAUUAGCCUUAAGUGCUACAGUAACCUACAUAUGCUAAUGACAGAUUAAUUAUGCUUAAUAAAUUUGUCUUGCAGUUUCCUGACGAGCUAUAUAAUUUGUUUUUUUAUUAGUUUCUAAAAACCCCUCCCGACAUCCUUCCGACACAUCCGAUGUGACACCCAAAAAAUUUUCGUUCUCAAUCUAAACAGUCCCUAUAUCCAAAAAUAGUGUAGGACCUACCACUACCCAUCAUCUCUCCUUCACUGUUGUCAUGCAUGGCAAAAGAAAAGGGUUUGACAGCCAUGAAGGACAACACGAGAGAGAUUCCGGGGCAGCCUUCCAUUCGUUUCUAGAGGACAGCGAGAGAGAUUCUCUGGCUGGGUGCGCAGUGACCGGUGCACUGCAGUAACCGCUGGACCGCCUGCCUCCCCCCUGGCCGGGCAUCCAGAGCGCGGCGGAGCCAAUGUGGGUGGCACGCACGACAUACGCAAUUAAUGCUGCAUUCAUAUACUCAUUGCAUGCAGUUGUAGGCUAGAGGUGAGACAAAGCAAGAAAGUAUCUAUGCUCUAUUCAGGCCUUGUUUAGUUCUAAAAAAUUUUGCAAAAUUUUUCAGAUUCUCCGUCACAUCGAAUCUUUAGACGCAUGCAUGGAGUACUAAAUAUAGAUGAAAAUAAAAACUAAUUGCACAGUUUGGUCGAAAUUGACAAGACGAAUCUUUUGAGCUUAGUUAGUACAUGAUUGGAUAAUUUUUGUCAAAUACAAACGAAAGUGCUACAGUGUCGAUUUUGCAAAAAAAUUUGGAACUAAACAAGGCCUCAAUGAUCUGAUCGAAAGCAAUGACACGUCUACUGUUUACAUGUGCAUGAUCCAUAAACUCACACAGCUAAGUGCAAGUAUGUAGCCUCAGGCUUUGCAGCAGCCUUCAUCACCACAGCUACAUAUGCUGCAUCAAUCACAAGCUCUUUGUGUGUUUGUGUGUGACAACACGAGGCAGCAGGCCAAGCAAGGAAAAAUAUAUAUACUGUGUCAAUCACAAGCUCUGUGCGUGUGUUUGGAGUAUAUGCACAAAGCAGCUAGCACAGGCGGCAGAGAGAGAAGAGAGAGAGAUGUUGGCACUACUUGGCCUGGCUAGGUACCAAUGCACCACAUGCCAACAAAUAUGAACAUUAAUUCCAAAACCCCUCUAUUACUCUCUCUCUCUCUCAGCAGAAAGGACAAAGGAAAGAGCCAAAACAAAGGUAGAGAUGCAUCCAAUGCGUUGCCCGCUCACCCCUGUUCCCUGAUGCCUUGAGGUGACCAGCCAAAGCCACUAAACACCAAUGCAUGCAAAUGUAGGAGUACCUAAAGCCUGAGUUGUCAUUCAGGCAUGGCUUGCACACUAAUCCAAGUGUUGGUAUUCACUUGUUCAAAGCAGCCAUGUAAUCAAAGGUAAAUUGAUGAGCCUCCUCGUUAUUAUUAUUCCGAUAUAGUGUAAUUAUGUAUUUACAGGUGCCCUCUCCAAAAUGUAAGGAUCGACACCAAAUGUAUCCAUCAACAAGUGACCUAUCUGCUUCCUUCUCUCGACUUUGUAAGUUUUUCCUUUCAGCCAUCUACAUUCUGAGUUGUAAAUUAAUAAAGCAUGGUUAUUUUCAGAACUUAAAUAAAUUCAGUUAUAUAAAAUCUUCAUACAUACUUUAUGGGAAGUAAGUGCAAGUUCGAUUGUAGACACUUUGUGUCAUUUUAACAUAGGUGCAGCUUUGCCGCUUGUAUAUAACUCCUGCUAUUGAUGUGUUCAAAAUUAAUGAUUUCUUAGUCUACAAACUAUAUGAUGCCUAUAGUUCGGUUGGAAUUAUCAAAGUUUAUUAAUCUGGGCAUCUGCUAUUGUUUUCAUGUAUAUGAUGACAUUGGUUCACAGUGACUAUGGAUUUUAGGAUCUAGGAAAAAUUACCGACUUAGCGAGAACCCAUACAAAAUAUUUUGCUAUAGGAAUUCAAAUUUUCUAGGCAUUAUGCUUGCAUCAUUUAUGCACAGUUAAUUAAGUUUUCUCUAUAUUAGGACAAAAGGGCCGUCUUUUAAGCCUUUCUUUGUCAGACAAAGUUUCAGGGACCAUCCUAUCUCUUAUUCUCUUUCUUGCUUGUUCCUGUAUCAGCUUGGUUGGUUCCAAUUGUUUCUUUCAUCCUCAGUUAUAAUAAUUUAGCAAACCUAUUAGUCAUAUCAAAAGCACUCUGCAAAUAUUGACACAGAUUCCUCGCUGGACAUCUCCGACGACAAUGAACAUUGCUGGGAACCUGACUGUAGCUGCAAGUCUGCAACUUCUGAUCAUCAUUGCACCCAUGUCGAAGCCGAACAGAGACCGCACACACAUUGCUUCUGUAUAUAAUAUUUCUACUCAACACUCUAUUAUGCUUUUGGAUACUACAUCUGACAAAGCAUACAAUGGACAUCAUACUAAUUUUGUAUAAUAUAUCAACGCGCACCACUGUAAUGUUUUUCUAUAUGCGCAGCUCAAAUCUGCCAUCCGACAAACUUGCGAGCCAAGUAAUAUUAUGUAUAUAUAGCUAUGCUUCCUAAAUGAUACUUCAAUCUAUAAGCACUAUCAUGUUUGCCACUAUUACAACAGUCGUGUUUCAAAUAACCAUACAAAUGUUACAUGCUAUUGUCGACACAAUGAAGCAAUUUAAGAUGCUUUAAUCUCACGCGCAAAGGCGUGUGCCAUCCACUAGUAUAUAUGCAUCGCUAGCUGCAUGUCUGGCCAGCCCUGUUGGCUCCUGCUGUG
rnacentral:lncRNA from 1 species